UGUACAAAAAUUCUAUAUAGUAGGAUAUAGGUAUGACAACCUCAUAAGUAUAAAGUGUUUUUGAAAAUUUAGUUGCCUAACAAUAAAAAGUAACCAAAAUACUAGGUACUUAUUAAAAAUCUAUAUGCAAUUUUAUUCAUUUUUAAAAAAGAUUUUAUAAAAUACACAAUACAUUUUGAGAUUAAGAUAUAUUUUUUUAAUCAAUGUUAGAGUAUUAAAUAAUAUAUAAGUUUAAACAGAUUAUUU